rnacentral:rRNA from 1 species
CCUACGGGAGGCAGCAGUGGGGAAUAUUGGGCAAUGGGCGCAAGCCUGACCCAGCAACGCCGCGUGAAGGAAGAAGGCUUUCGGGUUGUAAACUUCUUUUCUCAGGGACGAAGAAAGUGACGGUACCUGAGGAAUAAGCCACGGCUAACUACGUGCCAGCAGCCGCGGUAAUACGUAGGUGGCAAGCGUUAUCCGGAUUUAUUGGGUGUAAAGGGCGUGUAGGCGGGAGCGCAAGUCAGAUGUGAAAAGUCAGGGCUCAACCCUGAGCCUGCAUUUGAAACUGUGUUUCUUGAGUGCUGGGGAGGCAAUCGGAAUUCGGGGUGUAGCGGUGAAAUGCGUAGAUAUACGGAGGAACACCAGUGGCGAAGGCGGAUUGCUGGACAGUAACUGACGCUGAGGCGCGAAAGCGUGGGGAGCAAACAGGAUUAGAUACCCCGGUAGUC